CCUACGGGGGGCAGCAGUAGGGAAUCUUCCACAAUGGGCGAAAGCCUGAUGGAGCAACGCCGCGUGGGUGAAGAAGGUCUUCGGAUCGUAAAACCCUGUUGUUAGAGAAGAAAGUGCGUGAGAGUAACUGUUCACGUUUCGACGGUAUCUAAUCAGAAAGCAACGGCUAACUACGUGCCAGCAGCCGCGGUAAUACGUAGGUGGCAAGCGUUAUCCGGAUUUAUUGGGCGUAAAGGGAACGCAGGCGGUCUUUUAAGUCUGAUGUGAAAGCCUUCGGCUUAACCGGAGUAGUGCAUUGGAAACUGGGAAACUUGAGUGCAGUAGAGGAGAGUGGAACUCCAUGUGUAGCGGGGAAAUGCGUAGAUAUAUGGAAGAACACCAGUGGCGAAAGCGGCUCUCUGGGCUGUAACUGACGCUGAGGUUCGAAAGCGUGGGGAGCAAACAGGAUUAGAUACCCGGGUAGUC
rnacentral:rRNA from 1 species